rnacentral:sRNA from 1 species
ACCAUUUGUUUUUCUUAUGCCCUUACUCACAACAGGUUUGGAGAACACUAGUUCAAGGGAUCAUGCUUCACAGGUUUACUACAAAGUGGGAAGACGUGAUGAAAAUUCUUGCAAGCAGAGACUUAGACAAAGGAAAGCGAUUCUUGCUAGAAUAUACUUUUCAGAAUGCCAUACACGUCAUCUGGGGGGAGCGGAAUAAGAGACGACACGGAGAACAACAGUUUACACCGGAAAAGCUAGUCAAGUUAAUAGACAAGAAUGUACGUAAUCGGGUGAGUACUAU